UACGAAGGGGGCUAGCGUUGCUCGGAAUCACUGGGCGUAAAGCGCACGUAGGCGGACUCUUAAGUCAGGGGUGAAAUCCCGGAGCUCAACUCCGGAACUGCCUUUGAUACUGGCGACCUUCGAGUUCGGGAGAGGUGAGUGGAACUGCGAGUGUAGAGGUGAAAUUCGUAGAUAUUCGCAAGAACACCAGUGGCGAAGGCGGCUCACUGGCCCGAUACUGACACUGAGGUGCGAAAGCGUGGGGAGCAAACAGG
rnacentral:rRNA from 1 species